rnacentral:rRNA from 1 species
CGAAACGUUAGCGGCGGGCCUACAACAUGCAAGUCGAGCGAGAAAGAAGGCUUCGGCCCUUAGAUAAAGGCGGCUGGACGGGUGAGUAACACGUAGAGUAUAAUCUUCCCUUGUAGCGGGGGACAACGAGCCGAAAGGCUCGCUUAAUACCGCAUACGUUUCUUUGGCCUCCUGGGCUUAAGAAGGAAAGCUAGGCAGCAAUGUCCGGCACUCGAGGAGGGAGCCUACGUCGCAUCAGCUAGUUGUGUGGGGUAACGGCCCUACCAGGCGAAGACGCGUAGCUGGUCUGAGAGGAUGAUCAGCCACACUGGGACUGAGACACGGCCCAGACUCCAUACGUGGAGGCAGCAGUAAGGAAUAUUGGACAAUGGGGGCAACCCUGAUCCAAGCCAUGCCGCUGAGGGAUGAGGGUUCUCUGAAUUGUAACCUCUUUUAUUUGGGAAUAAGUGCCUGAUUUCUAUCGGAGGUUUGAAGGUACCAGAUGAAUAAGCACCGGCUAACUCCGUGCCAGCAGCCCGCGGUAAUACGGAGGGUGCAAGCGUUAUCCGAUUUACUGGUGUUAAAGGGGUGCGUAGGUUGAUUGGAAAGUUAGUGGUGAAAAUACUACCAGCGCAACUAUGGAACUGCCAUUUAAUACUGCCUCAUAUCUUGAAUGCAGUGGUGAGGCGGGCGGAAUGUGUCAUGUAGCGGUGAAACUGCUUAGAUAUGACACAGACCACCAAUUGCGAAGGCAGCUUGCUACACUGUGAUUGACACUGAGGCACGAAUAGCGUGGGGAUCAACAGGAUUAGAUACCCUGGUAGUCCACGCCCUAAACGAUGUUCACUCGAUCUCGGCGAUACACUGUCGGGGUCUAUGCAAAAGCAUUAAGUGAACCACCUGGGGAGUACGAUCGCAAGAUUGGAACUCAAAGGAAUUGGACGGGGGUCCGCACAAGCGGUGGAGCAUGUGGUUCAAUUCGAUGGUACGCGAGGAACCUUACCUGGGCUAGAAUGCAAGUGGAAUACGGCUGAAAGGUCGUAGCCCCGCAAGGGGCCGCUUGUAGAGGUGCUGCGUGGCUGUCGUCAGCUCGUGUCGUGAGAUGUUGGGUUAAGUCCCGCAACGAGCGCAACCCCCAUCAUUAGUUGCCAUCGGUUAAGCCGGGGACUCUAGUGAAAACUAGCCUGCGUAAGCAGCGAGGAAGGAGGGGGACGCGUCAAGUCAUCACGGCCUUUAUGUCCAGGGCUACACACGUGCUACAAUGGUAGGUACAAUGGGUCGCAACACGGCGACGUGAAGCCAAUACCCAAAAAACCUACCUCAGUUCAGAUUGGAGAUCUGCAACCCGACUCCAUGAAGCUGGAAUCGCUAGGUAAUCGGGUAUCAGCAAUGAUCCGGUGAAUACGUUCCCGGACCCUGUACACACCGCCCGUCAAGCCAUGGAAGCCCGGUGUACCUGAAGAUGAUCACCGUAAGGAGUCAUUCAAGGUAAAACGGGUAACUGGGGCU